rnacentral:rRNA from 1 species
UGGGGAAUAUUGCACAAUGGGCGAAAGCCUGAUGCAGCAACGCCGCGUGAGUGAUGAAGGCCUUCGGGUUGUAAAGCACUUUUGUCCGGAAAGAAAUCCUUGGCUCUAAUACAGUCGGGGGAUGACGGUACCGGAAGAAUAAGCACCGGCUAACUACGUGCCAGCAGCCGCGGUAAUACGUAGGGUGCAAGCGUUAAUCGGAAUUACUGGGCGUAAAGCGUGCGCAGGCGGUUUGCUAAGACCGAUGUGAAAUCCCCGGGCUCAACCUGGGAACUGCAUUGGUGACUGGCAGGCUAGAGUAUGGCAGAGGGGGGUAGAAUUCCACGUGUAGCAGUGAAAUGCGUAGAGAUGUGGAGGAAUACCGAUGGCGAAGGCAGCCCCCUGGGCCAAUACUGACGCUCAUGCACGAAAGCGUGGGGAGCAAACAGGAUUAGAUACCCUGGUAGUCCACGCCCUAAACGAUGUCAACUAGUUGUUGGGGAUUCAUUUCCUUAGUAACGUAGCUAACGCGUGAAGUUGA